rnacentral:rRNA from 1 species
GAUGAACGCUGGCGGCGUGCCUAAUACAUGCAAGUCGAGCGAACAGACGAGGAGCUUGCUCCUCUGACGUUAGCGGCGGACGGGUGAGUAACACGUGGAUAACCUACCUAUAAGACUGGGAUAACUUCGGGAAACCGGAGCUAAUACCGGAUAAUAUAUUGAACCGCAUGGUUCAAUAGUGAAAGACGGUUUUGCUGUCACUUAUAGAUGGAUCCGCGCCGCAUUAGCUAGUUGGUAAGGUAACGGCUUACCAAGGCAACGAUGCGUAGCCGACCUGAGAGGGUGAUCGGCCACACUGGAACUGAGACACGGUCCAGACUCCUACGGGAGGCAGCAGUAGGGAAUCUUCCGCAAUGGGCGAAAGCCUGACGGAGCAACGCCGCGUGAGUGAUGAAGGUCUUCGGAUCGUAAAACUCUGUUAUUAGGGAAGAACAACUGUGUAAGUAACUAUGCACGUCUUGACGGUACCUAAUCAGAAAGCCCCGGCUAACUACGUG